UAGUAGUUAGUUUAACAAAAACAAAUGAUUUCGACUCAUUAAAUUAUGCUUUAAUACAUAACUACUAA
rnacentral:tRNA from 2 species